rnacentral:misc_RNA from 1 species
GUGGGCUAGUGGGUGCAUUUCUUGGUCUUUCCAUUACCUUCCUUCUCCUUUGCGCUUCAACCCUUGCUUAUUUGGCCUCCAAAUUUCUUGGCUUGUUUGGAUUGGACUUACCUUGCCCUUGCAAUAGCUUUUUUGGAGUUCCCGACAACGCCAACAAUACCGGCUUGCAAAGACGAUUAGUUGAUUACCCCUUACCGAAAAUUUCCUCUGUUCAAUCUUCUGCGAAGAGCAAGUUCCCUUUUGGUACGAUAAGGAACGAUUUGCAGUUGAAUUCCAACAAGGAAAAUGACGGGAAUGGUGAUAAACAUGAGGGUAUUGGAUUGGAGGGUGAGGUCUCGUGCAUCUCAUCUUCAGAGAGGAGGACAGACAAUUUUACAGGCGAAGAUUUGGCUAAGAUGAAAGGAAAGAGUUUUGUGAUGGGUACAUUGAACUUGCCGGAUGUGAAAGAAGGGAGAUAUGAGUUGAAAAGGAAGUGGGUAACUCGUCACAGAUCAAGAAAUGGCCUCAGACGCCGCAGAAAAGGCUCUGUUGAUUACAAUGGGAAGUUGCCCUGGGUGCCAUCACAUAAAACUUUAUGGUCGGAUGCAGAAACUCGUCAAUCCGCUCCUGGCAGAAUCAGUGAAUCAGAGGAUGACACAGACAAAGGCUGCAAGGAUCCUGCUAAUAACUUUGAAGGUGAAUCAGGUGAUGGUUUUGUUUGUUGGCUUACAAUGUGCUCGAAAAUUUUCAUUCUUCUUUGGCCGCGCGCUUGAGCACUUAAUUUAAGCAAAUAUUGAACGUAGAAAGAAAAAUUAUGACAGGAAUUUCAAAGCAUGUUUCUCAUUAUUUUUUCACAUGCUGAUGCAGCCUGUAAUGUGAAUGGUUGUGAAAUUUUGGAUGGAAAGGAAACCUCAGUGGAUAUUGGUUCGAAGAGAAAGUUUUCCUAUGAUUUUGAACUGAAUGAAUCUGUAGAUGAGAAUGAACCCGCAGAAAAAAAUGCAUCAACUGCUGAGGAGUUCAAUUCACAUAGAAAUCAAGUUUCUGAUUGCAAUGCAAAAAAUACAAUAAGACUCUUGGAACAAGCACUAGAAGAAGAGCAUGCUGCUAGAGCUGUCCUCUAUAUCGAACUAGAGAAAGAGAGAAGCGCUGCUGCUUCUGCUGCAGAUGAGGCCAUGGCUAUGAUAUUGCGUCUACAAGAGGAGAAGGCGUCCAUAGAAAUGGAAGCAAGACAAUGCCAGAGGAUAAUAGAAGAGAAAUAUGCAUAUGAUGCUGAAGAAAUGAACAUUCUCAAAGAGAUCUUAGUAAGGAGAGAGAGGGAAAAGUAUUAUUUGGAGAAUGAAGUUGAAGCCUACAGGCAAAAAAUUUCUGGUAAUGAGCAGUUGUAUGCUGAAAUGUAUGGUAUGUCAGCAACAAAGGGAGAGAUAACAUUAUAUACUAGCGAUGAAGAUUCGGUGCUGAAACUGCCACAUAGUAGUGAUUACAUUGGCGAGGAGGAGAAGGCAGAAAAUGUAAACUGGAAAGAUUUACGAAGUACGAAAUAUAGUGAAGAUAAAAACUGUUCAAAUCAAAUUGACAUUCCAAGGCAUCCAAGUCCUGAAAAAAAUCCUGAUGAGGAAAAGAAAGCGCAGAAAUUAAAUGCAACUUCAAAGUUCAUUCAGUCUAAUAUUCCUCCCCCACAUAAUUUGCAUCAGAAAGCUAUUGAUGACAAAGAAAGUGAAGGUGAUAUUCAUGAUGUUCAUGUCGUUGAUGAUCAAGCCAGUGUCUAUAAGCAGGUCAUGAGAGACAAAAAUAGGCAACUUUCGACUAAUGCUGCUGCUACCUCAAAAAAUCCUAACAUUUCCAUGGGAUUACCACCAACUGGUAGUUCAAGAAGCAGAUCCUUGCGUUAUGACAUGCGAAGAAAAUCCAUGUCUGCAUUUGAUGUUGAAAGGUUUAAAAUUGACAAUGAAAUUAGUUGGCUGAGAGAAAAGCUAAAAUUUGUGCAAGAAGGAAGAAAGAAGCUACAUUUAACCAAAGGGAACAAGGAAAGAGAGAAAAUUCAGCUACAAACUUUGGAGGAUAUCAUCAACCAGCUUCGAGAGAUUCGACAGUUAACAGAACCUGGAAAGGCUGCCCGCAGGGCCUCAUUGCCUCUUCUAACAUCCAAUGUAUUUACUCCUUUAAUUUUAUUACUACCAUUAUUGUAAUAGAGCUGCUACUUUUUGAUUAACAGAAAAAUUAAAAUUUGCAUCAAAUUUCAGGUUAAGUCGAAGAAAAGACGUUGGCGUAGUGGUCCUUUGCUGGUGGAAGGAAGCAUCUAGGAUAGUGCAGAGAAUUUUCAUGGCUCUGGAUGGCACCUGCAAUUAUUUGAUUUCUUCAAUCUCUUACAGAGUUGUAUUUUAGUUGUUACUUGAGCAGUGAACUUAUGAAGGGUGAUAAUUUGGUGGAUAACAAUUAACUUGACAAGUAAAUUUCCUGUAUGGAUAUAGAGCUGUUAAUUUGGAAACUAUAAUUUUGUAUGAAUUCAAUUGAAGUGAUAUUUUUUUU